rnacentral:rRNA from 1 species
GAUCCUGGCUUAGGAUGAACGCUAGCGACAGGCUUAACACAUGCAAGUCGAGGGGCAGCACGGGAGUAGCAAUACAACUGGUGGCGACCGGCGCACGGGUGAGUAACGCGUAUGCAACCUACCUAUCAGAGGGGAAUAACCCGGCGAAAGUCGGACUAAUACCGCAUAAAACAGGGGCACCGCAUGGUGAUAUUUGUUAAAGAAAUUCGCUGAUAGAUGGGCAUGCGUUCCAUUAGGUAGUUGGUGAGGUAACGGCUCACCAAGCCGACGAUGGAUAGGGGAACUGAGAGGUUGGUCCCCCACACUGGUACUGAGACACGGACCAAACUCCUACGGGAGGCAGCAGUGAGGAAUAUUGGUCAAUGGACGAGAGUCUGAACCAGCCAAGUAAGCGUGAAGGAUGACUGCCCUAUGGGUUGUAAACUUCUUUUAUAAGGGAAUAAAGUGAGGGACGUGUCCCUUUUUGUAUGUACCUUAUGAAUAAGGAUCGGCUAACUCCGUGCCAGCCGCGGC